UCUUCGAUGGUCUAGUGGUCAUGAUUUCCGCUUGUCAAAGACCACAAGUCCCAACAAGCGCGGGAGACCGGGGUUCGAUUCCCCGUCGGAGAG